rnacentral:tRNA from 1 species
GUUUUUAUAGUUGAGUACAACGUUGAUUUUUCAGGUCAGAGGCUUUGGUUAAAUUCCAAAUAAAAAUA